rnacentral:misc_RNA from 1 species
AUGAUCUUCCUCUUCUUCUUCUCUGGUCUUCAAAUAGCCUCCACUGCGAUUUAUUUGUUUUUAAAUUUUUUUAGUCUCUGACUCAUACUUCGCGAGCUUUUUUGCUGUUCUUCAAUUCUCUGCCACCUCUGUUUCACAUUUCGAACAUAGCUAAUUAUUUGGAAUGCCAUUUAGAGACAGCUCGGAAUUCGUCAUCCGGUCAACGACUGUGCAUACAAUUUGAAAGUUCUCCGGCUGAUUCUAGCAAUUGAAUAUACUUGGACGGCGACAGAAACAAAAUCGCAGCUAAAAAAUUACAUAUGUAUUUGUUUUGCUUUUUAUGUUCAGUGCAAAUUUGCACGCACCCUCUCCGACGAGCUAGCAGAGACUCACUUCCACUUUCCUAGUUCAAUUGGCAUACUUAGAAUUCUUAAAAGUUAAAAUCGCCCUCUGAAGUUGGGAUUGAAAUGGCUGA